GAUGAACGCUGGCGGCGUGCCUAAUACAUGCAGGUCGAGCGAACGGACGAGAAGCUUGCUUCUCUGAUGUUAGCGGCGGACGGGUGAGUAACACGUGGAUAACCUACCUAUAAGACUGGGAUAACUUCGGGAAACCGUAGCUAAUACCGGAUAAUAUUUUGAACCGCAUGGUUCAAAAGUGAAAGACGGUCUUGCUGUCACUUAUAGAUGGAUCCGCGCUGCAUUAGCUAGUUGGUAAGGUAACGGCUUACCAAGGCAACGAUGCAUAGCCGACCUGAGAGGGUGAUCGGCCACACUGGAACUGAGACACGGUCCAGACUCCUACGGGAGGCAGCAGUAGGGAAUCUUCCGCAAUGGGCGAAAGCCUGACGGAGCAACGCCGCGUGAGUGAUGAAGGUCUUCGGAUCGUAAAACUCUGUUAUUAGGGAAGAACAUAUGUGUAAGUAACUGUGCACAUCUUGACGGUACCUAAUCAGAAAGCCACGGCUAACUACGGG
rnacentral:rRNA from 1 species